rnacentral:rRNA from 1 species
UACGUAGGGUGCGAGCGUUAAUCGGAAUUACUGGGCGUAAAGCGUGCGCAGGCGGUUCGUCGUGUCCGAUGUGAAAGCCCCGGGCUCAACCUGGGAAUGGCAUUGGAAACUGGCGGACUCGAGUUGUGGCAGAGGGGGGGUGGAAUUCCGCGUGUAGCAGUGAAAUGCGUAGAGAUGCGGAGGAACACCGAUGGCGAAGGCAGCCCCCCUGGGCUAACACUGACGCUCAGGCACGAAAGCGUGGGGAGCAAACGGG